rnacentral:rRNA from 1 species
UACGUAGGGUGCAAGCGUUGUCCGGAAUUAUUGGGCGUAAAGGGCUCGUAGGCGGUCCGUCACGUCGGGAGUGAAAACUUGGGGCUUAACCCCAAGCCUGCUUCCGAUACGGGCGGACUAGAGGUAGGCAGGGGAGAACGGAAGUUCCUGGUGUAGCGGUGAAAUGCGUAGAUAUCUGGAGGAAUACCGGUGGCGAAGGCGGCAUCCUGGACCGACAUUGACGCUGAACGGCGAAAGCUAGGGGAGCGAAAACGGG